rnacentral:tRNA from 1 species
UCCCUGGUGGCUUAGACAGUAAAGAAGCUGCCUGUAAUGCAGGAGACCUGGGUUUGAUCCCUGGUUUGGGAA